AAUGUCCGCGCAUAACUGUAUUAAUAUGUCUGAUUCCUGGGGUCUUAAUUCAAUGAGCAUGUUUUAUGAAUUUAGGUUUUACAGUUACGUGUUUCCUAACUGCAGCAUCUUAACUGAAGAAUCAUCAAAGUUCGGUAUUUGAACAGGCUGAAGAAAUGUGAGCUCCACUGGUGUUAGGAUGUCUUCUGCAUGCUAAUCCUCUGGGAUACGGAUCCGUCACUCCUCCGUCGUUCCCUCAUGCCUGGCGUGCCGGAGACAGCUGGGAAAACAGUCUCUGCCCGACGAUCUGCUCGUACGACCAGGAUCUCAGGCCGCCAUCGAGCUCGACCGCAGAGGAACAACACGGGCAGUGGUGGAGGAAGCGUUCAACGAUCGGACGGCCCGGCGUCUCUCAGCUGAGGAUGGAUCUGUUCGCCUCCUGCAUCGAGACAGAAAUAGCUCUUAAUAAUGAAAGAUUGAUGUGAAGUAAGCUUGUCAUUACAUGCUGCAGUAGACAAUUAGGUGCCUCCCUCCCUCCAUUCAGGCCUCUCUGAUUUUCUCCUCUCUCUCUCCUCUUCCUCCCCGACAGUUCGCUCGUUUUCUCUCUCCUCCACGCCGGCGAAACUUGCUGAAGUCAUUUGCUUAAAUUUAGUUUUGUUUGAGUCCGAAGGGACGAUUGCAACGAGCCCCGUGAUUCAUUCAGCGAGCAGGAUGACAAAUAGCUGAUGGCCCCCCUGCAGCAGGUUCCAAACUUUCUCUCCUCUACUGGGACCAAAGCUCAUUAAAAUAAAUUACAUUUGUGGUCAUGUGGGGACGAAAAGCCCGGCUCGGAGUUUAAGGAACACUUUAUUCAGUUAAAACUUUCACAAUAGGGCUCAUUAGACAGGCAGUUAAAGGGACGCGUGUGACAUUUUGGGGAAAUUAAGCUUAUCUGCUUUUCUUGCCGAGAGUCAGAUGAGUUGAUGGGAAGAUCGCUGUUGGUUAAGUGUGAUGCCUCAGCUCGGACACGGUUAGCUUAACGUAACGAGUAGAAGAAAAGGGGGUGAAGUUCUGGCCUGGCUCGGUCCAAAGGUAAAAAAAUCUACCUGUGCCAGAAGUUCUCAGUACAGUUGUGACCUCAUCACCUUACUGAAGUCCCGGCAUUUUAUUUAAAGGCACAGUUCCUGAAUAUGGGCUGGAUACAAAAUCUUUUGAUAUAUUCACAGUAUUUUAAAGCAGCUACACCUGUUUUUUAAUCCUAUAAGACAGGAACCCUCACUUUAUAUGUUACAGGACCUUUAACACACCAUAAUUCUCACUUUUAAUCGAUAACAACAAGUGUAGAAGUUGUGACUUGUCCAAAUAGAUGAUCAGAAUAGCGGAAACACAGUUUCCAGAUCACACAAUCAAAGUGAAAGCAACAUUAGUGUCAUUAUUCUGUUAUUGUGCGAUCAAGAUUUACAUCAUAAUGACAUUAUAAAGCACAAAAAGAAAGAUAUAAUGCUAAUUUUGAGGUGCUAGAAGGUGGAUUGUUUCUUCUACAUGCUGCUGUAAUUUAACAAGACUGGUGUCAGUGUUCUCAUCCAACUCUCAGCAAGAAAGCAAAUUAGCUGCAUUUCCGAAAACAUCAAACACCUCUAAAAGUCUCUGAUAGAUUCCUAAACUCUGGUUCCAAACACACACCAGCUGUAACACUGUCCCGCUCCAACACACACACACACACACACACACACACACACACACACACACACACACACACACACACACACACACACACAACUUACAAACCUCUCACUGUUCGACCUGGUCCACUUCUCCAGGUGUUCCCAUUGAAAUCACAGCUACCUCCCCUCACUCUAUCAGCCGCGGUGCUGCUCAGGCUGUACUCGUGACAGUCCCUGAAUGCAUUCAUAAACACUGGCAGGACUGACAUCUCAAUGGGCCGACUAUUCCCCCUCGCUAUCAGCUUACAGCCUAUAAUUACGGCCAAUCAUCUUGGAUCAAGCAUGUCUGCG